rnacentral:rRNA from 1 species
CCUACGGGCGGCAGCAGUGGGGAAUAUUGGACAAUGGGGGCAACCCUGAUCCAGCCAUGCCGCGUGUGUGAAGAAGGCCCUCGGGUUGUAAAGCACUUUCAGUGAGGAAGAACGCCUGGUGGUUAAUACCCAUCAGGAAAGACAUCACUCACAGAAGAAGCACCGGCUAACUCCGUGCCAGCAGCCGCGGUAAUACGGAGGGUGCGAGCGUUAAUCGGAAUUACUGGGCGUAAAGCGCGCGUAGGUGGCUUGAUAAGCCGGUUGUGAAAGCCCGGGCUCAACCUGGGAACGGCAUCCGGAACUGUCAAGCUAGAGUGCAGGAGAGGAAGGUAGAAUUCCCGGUGUAGCGGUGAAAUGCGUAGAGAUCGGGAGGAAUACCAGUGGCGAAGGCGGCCUUCUGGACUGACACUGACACUGAGGUGCGAAAGCGUGGGUAGCAAACAGGAUUAGAUACCCGGGUAGUC